GAUGAAGAACGUAGCGAAAUGCGAUAAGUAAUGUGAAUUGCAGAAUUCAGUGAAUCAUCGAAUCUUUGAACGCACAUUGCGCCCGCCAGUAUUCUGGCGGGCAUGCCUGUUCGAGCGUCAUUUCAACCAUCAAGCCCCGGGCUUGUGUUGGGGACCUGCGGCUGCCGCAGGCCCUGAAAUGCAGUGGCAGGCUCGCUGUCACUCCGAGCGUAGUAAUACAUCUCGCUCUGGACGUGCUGCGGGUUCCGGCCGUUAAAAGCCUUAUUUACCCAAGGUUGACCUCGGAUCAGGUAGGAAGACCCGCUGAACUUAAGCAUAUCAAUAAGCGGAGGA
rnacentral:misc_RNA from 1 species